ensembl:lncRNA
UUUUUAUCAAAAAGUGCAAGAAAACAUGUCCAGCAACAGAUAUAGUAAAACUACAGUAUUUGAAUGUGAUAAAGUACAAAAUAAACAUUAUACAAUACAAAAUAAACAAGGGCUAGAAUGGCAGUAAUAAACAUACGACCUAGCAGCAAUCGAUAGUUAUUGAAUAUUAUAGACACAUCAGUGCAAUAAGCUUAUGAACGGUGGCAUAACACUAAAACUACAGACAGAAUUAAGAACAUUCACACACAGCUUUAAAUAUAUUAAGAGGUUAAUGCGAUCAUAUACAUAACAAUGUACAUAGCAGCAGUUAAAAAAAAGUAAAAAGAGUACUGUAGAUUAGCAGGAAUAUUGGUUGUGCUGGAGAUGUCAUUCAUACUCAUGGCAGGUACCUUGUACCGCCGCAACAUCUUCUCCCACCUGUACGGUCAGCUGCCCCUUUCUGGUACCUGGGGACCUGGUUCUGGACAGCCUUGUCAGUGGCAUCCCGGUUGGAAGGAUUCUUCCUUAUGGCUCCUGUAAUACAGUACUCAGAUAUUGUACUUGUGCAAUUGGGCUGUACUCUGCUGGCAAUACUCGGCCCUCAUUCAGGGUGGUCGCGGUUGGUGGGUGUCCUUUUAGUUGAUGCCUGGCAAUGUGGGUGGAUUGAUUUCCUGUCUGUUGGGCCCUGUCUGGGGCCUCCCCCGGGUAGGGCCAGUGUCGCCGGACCCCCCCGUCUCAGUUCCUAGGUCUUACGCUGCUCUACUAUUGUGCUGGGGGAUUGGGUCAGUUCUCCGUGCCCACAAAGUUCUCCUUCUCCACUAUAAAUCGUUGUUGAUAUGAUGAAUGCAUUUUCUGAAUUUUCCCAGUCUUCUCCCAUUUUAAACUUUAGGAGGACAUGAGGUCCUGGUCCACACCUGUGGAGUACCUGGUUUGGGGGGCCUGUUGCUGUCCCUGUCUUUGUCCAUCUGGUCAUACUUCUGACCUAGUCUAAUUUUAAAUAGACUCUAGAUUUAGCCCAGAUAAAUGUAUUAAUUAUCUCCAAUUGGACUCUUAAUAUCUCACCCGGCACAGCCAGAAGAGGACUGGUCACCCCUCUGAGCCUGGGUCCUCUCUAGGUUUCUUCCUAAAAUUCGGCCUUCUUAGGGAGUUUUUCCUAGCCACUGAAAUUCAACACUACUGUUGUUAGCUCCUUGGGUUUUAAGGCCGGGUGUCUCUGUAAAAGCACUUUCACAACUGCUGUUGUGAAAAGGGCUUUAUAAAUAAAUUUGAUUGAUUGAAAUAAAUGUGAUACUUAAAUGGUCUGACAUGAUUUUGAGAAUUGCUUGACAUUCAAAACAAAUGAAAUGUUUCAUGUUAGCGCAACUAUAGUCUUGUUUUUACUUCUGACGUUUAUCAGAAGCUAAAAAGCACAAUGAAAUGUCAAUAGCUUAAUAGUGAAAUAAACAAAACUGCCAUAUACAUGUAAUUUCAGAAAGGCUGUACAGUAUUGCAUUUUAGUAAAGGGCACACGUUCAGACAAAUGCAGUUUCAUGAAGACAAGAUGCUAGCGUGACUAUAGUCUUGUUUUUAUCUGAUUGUACAGCCAGCUGUGCCCUCAGCUCGACCUUCUCUUCAGUCAGCCGCUUGAUCUUCUCCAAAUGUUCUGAUAUUAAAGACAGACAGUUAAUUAUUCAGUCCUAAAUAUCUGGUUAUUUUACAAUCAGAACUCAAAUCACAGUGUCCACCAAAAUGUUCAUUCUUACCUUCACGUGCACCUUCUUGCCUUUAAAAUUAAAUUGACAAAUAAAAUUGUAUGCAACAUGCUUUAAUAACAAGUUAAGCAUCUGGGUUAAGUGAAUGAACCCACAGUUACUUAUGUAGCAGUCCUCCACAUGGUAGCAUGGAGUACCUCUCUGAUGCCUUGGAGUACUGUGCUUGCUCUAUCCUAAAAAUAAACAUAAAAGUUGGUGAACAGGUAAAUAUGGUGAAACCAAGUAAACAUUGCAGCAAUUACGAGAUCAAGAUGUAAUUCACAUACCUCCAGGGCUGCAAUCCACAGGGUGUUGUGGUGUAGAUGUGCGUCCUUGGGGUGGUAGGGGCCAACGCUGGAACAAUUUUCCCUCCUCUGGCAAUACACACGUCCGGUCUCUCACGUGUCCAGGAAAGGUUAAGGUUUUGUAAGCAUUUACCCUGCAAAACAUUAUUUAAUUCCAAGUUUCAAACUGUUAUUACGUUUUCAAAUUCACCUGCAUGCUUGAUGAACUUAUAAGGGACAGCCUCCCAGGUGUCUUCAGGUGGUGAACAAGUUCUGUCAAACUUGUCGUGGCUGAAGGACUUCCUGCUGGUGAUGCUGUGUGGUGGCCAGUAUGAAAGUCCCCCUUUGAGCCACAGACGUGGAACCACUGCCAAACAGUCAUCCUCCUCCGGGGACAAAACUACAGAAAACGUCAUGACCUGAAAGCAAUGCGUAGAAAUAUGGUUUAAAAAAUCGGCAGCUAAAGACACACACAGGCUAGGGCCAACCAUAGAGGAUAACCCUGAGAAUGGAUCCCAUCCAUGGACUUUGUCAAGCUCUGCAAUGCAUUUAUUGGUUUCAUGCACCAAGUUAAUUACUUUAUGUUUGAUGCAUCAGAAAUAAAAUUACAGCAUUCAGACACAACCACCUUGCUGAUACAUUCCUUGGUAGGCUA